UGCGGCGGCCAUGGCCCAGGUGAGACGCCCGGUCCCAUUCCGAACCCGGAAGCUAAGGCCUGGCACGGCGAUGGUACUGCACCCGACAGGGUGUGGGAGAGUAGCACGCCGCCGCAA
rnacentral:rRNA from 1 species